CUGGGAGCCCAACGCAGGGUUUCCCUUCCUGCCUGUAGAGGAGAAGUCUUACAGCAGUGAUUUCGUUAGUUGCGAAGGAUGGCACUGGGAAUGAAGUGAUCACUUGAGAGCACAUUCUGGGCACUGCUCUGGGGAAUGGUGAUAUGGAACUUGCAGGAAGGAGCACAAAUGCAUGGGGCAGGAGCAGCAGUAUGAGUGCAAGCCUUGCCCUCAGCAGGGAGUGAGAAGCAUGGCAGGAGCUGAUUCCUGCAUUGUGCCAUCAGCUGGCAGGCAGUAGGACAGCUAAAGAUUCAUGGCAGUAGUGGGACCCGCUGGCAGGAGCAUUGGGGAGGACGUGCCCAGCAGUGCUGAGGCUGU
rnacentral:lncRNA from 1 species